GGUGCUUGCAUCAUGAUUUACAUUUGAGUGAGUGGCGAACUGGUGAGUAACACGUGGGAAACCUGCCCAGAAGCGGGGGAUAACACCUGGAAACAGAUGCUAAUACCGCAUAACAACUUGGACCGCAUGGUCCGAGUUUGAAAGAUGGCUUCGGCUAUCACUUUUGGAUGGUCCCGCGGCGUAUUAGCUAGAUGGUGGGGUAACGGCUCACCAUGGCAAUGAUACGUAGCCGACCUGAGAGGGUAAUCGGCCACAUUGGGACUGAGACACGGCCCAAACUCCUACGGGAGGCAGCAGUAGGGAAUCUUCCACAAUGGACGAAAGUCUGAUGGAGCAACGCCGCGUGAGUGAAGAAGGGUUUCGGCUCGUAAAACUCUGUUGUUAAAGAAGAACAUAUCUGAGAGUAACUGUUCAGGUAUUGACGGUAUUUAACCAGAAAGCCACGGCUAACUACGUGCCAGCAGCCGCGGUAAUACGUAGGUGGCAAGCGUUGUCCGGAUUUAUUGGGCGUAAAGCGAGCGCAGGCGGUUUUUUAAGUCUGAUGUGAAAGCCUUCGGCUCAACCGAAGAAGUGCAUCGGAAACUGGGAAACUUGAGUGCAGAAGAGGACAGUGGAACUCCAUGUGUAGCGGUGAAAUGCGUAGAUAUAUGGAAGAACACCAGUGGCGAAGGCGGCUGUCUGGUCUGUAACUGACGCUGAGGCUCGAAAGUAUGGGUAGCAAACAGGAUUAGAUACCCUGGUAGUCCAUACCGUAAACGAUGAAUGCUAAGUGUUUGGAGGGUUUCCGCCCCUUCAGUGCUGCAGCUAACGCAUUAAGCAUUCCGCCUGGGGGAGUACGGCCCCCAAGGCUGAAACUCCAAGGGAAUUUGACGGGGGGCCCCGCACAAACCGGGUGGAACCAUGGUGGUUUUAAUUUCCAAACCUUCCCCGAAAAAACCU
rnacentral:rRNA from 1 species